GUAUCUAGCGGCAGGGCUCACGGCAUCGGCGGGGCGAGCGUCUCCCGGGCGCGCUCAGAAGGACGGAGACCGAGCAUGUCUGCGUCCAGAAAGCAGGGAGAAAGCUCCAGCCUCCUCUUCACACACUGUAUGAUUCAGUCUCCUUGACAAACACUCGGAGUGCUGGAGUAUGAGUCAUCCACAAGCAGCCAUUUCUGCCUUGAGCCGGCGGCCUACAGCACAGCUUUUUCUCUCUCGCAGUCUAACGUGCAGAGAAUAUAAUCUCCAAGCAGCGUAAGCUCCAACUCGCCUACACCUCCAGCUAAAGCUACGACCAACAACACCCACACAUGCACAGGGUGUGGGCUCAACCGAACAUGAACCAGUGCAGUUAGUUACUGUGCCCCUCUACAUCAAACAACACACCUACACGCGCGCAACGCACACGAGAGCUGACUUGGAGCCUAUACGCUGUGUAAACACCUACAUCUUAACCAUCAAUCAUUGGUGCGAACAGGAGAGCUGGUCCUGGUCUUUUGAGUGGUUAAGAAAAGAGAGUAUGAUGAUAGCCGUCAAUAGAGAAAGACGCUUUCUGAAGGCAGAUGGUGUAGUUUUGGCAUCUACUAGAAGAGGCUAAACCUUGACCCACUGCUUUCUCCAUUGGAGGCCAUUCAAAAGUAGCCAUGUUUUAUGGCUAAAAAUGCUUUUGCAAGCAACAUUUACACCGAAAAUAUGUAAUUUACUUCCAGGGGCUGCACCAUCUGAGCAACUACUAUUUAGAUGAAUGGGAUAGUUCACCUAAAAAUGAAAGUUCUGUCAUCAUUUACUCACCAGUGGAAGUCAACGGAGGCUAAAAUAACUGGAAGCAACUGACACCGGAAGCCUCACACAUUCAAGCUGCAGAUGGAGGGGGUGGAUGGUGCUGUAAUAGCACAGAGAGGCACAACUCAGAGCAUCACCCGCCGCUCUAAUGAUGGGCGCUGGGAUGAGCCGACAGCUGCAGCUAAUUAUACGUGCUGAUGAACUGACUGUGCUGGUGCUAGUCUCCAUAAAACCAGCACUUCAGCAUCAAAGAAAAACAUCUACCCACUAUUUAAAAAUUACACAGUUAAACAAUGUGUAUUAAAAAGGAAAACUUAGUAUUUGAAAUGUUGGGGGGAAAAAUAGACAAAAGGCUUUUUCACACCAUGUCGGAUGUGAUAUAAAAACUUAAAAAUAAUAAAAUACACUACUGUUCAAAGGUUUAGGGUCAGAAGGAUCGUUUCAAUGUUUUCAAAUAACACAUUGUAAUAUUGUGAAAUGUUAUUACAUUUUAAAAUAACUUUACUAUUUGAAUACAUUUUAAAAUGUAAUUUAUUUCUGCGAUCAAAGCUGAAUUUUCAGCAUCAUUACAGUCUUCAGUGUCACAUGAUCCUUCAGAAAUCAUUCUAAUAUUCUGAUUUGCUGUUCAAGAAACAUUUAUUAUUAUCAAUGUUGAAAACAGUUUAAAAUGUUUGUGGAAAUCAUGAUACAUUAUUUUCCAGGAUUCUUUAAUUAAUAGAAACUUCAAAAGAACUGUAUUUAUUUGAAAUAGAAAUGGAACAAUGUAAAAGUCUUGACUUUCACUUGACUUAAAAUUAAAACUUUUGAAGAGUAGUGUAUAUUCAUAAUUUAGGGCAUCAAAACUCCAAAUUACUCAGAUACUUGAAUGACCUUUUCAGCAUGACCUUUUUUUAUAUGCACAGAAAAAUGCUCAUGGUGCAGGUGCACUUAGGGCAUUUCUGAAUCCACUUUUGCUAGCUUACUGACGGAAAAAAUGGUUGGCGUGGUCCGAAAGGGUUGUACCUAGUCUAGUCUCUUAAUGAGUAAAGGGUGUGUUUUGGGCAUAACGUGCAAUAAACCAAUCAGAGUCUUAUCUCCCAUUCCCUUUAAAAGCCAGGUGUGCUCGCAUCAUGGCGGAUUUGCUAUUUACUUGGCAGAAUUUGCAAGCAGAAAGACUGAACGCUUCUCCAGAGAGGAAACUAAUCUGCUCGUGUGCGAGGCUAAAGCAUUGUAAUCCUUUUAUUUUUAAUAUCUGGCAUGUUUGUGUGCUGCUGCGCAUCCCUGUGUGCGUAACAAGCAGAGUGUACGCACGUUGUACACCCGCAUAUAGGUGCCUAUUAUUAACGCACGCUUUAAAUAUAAAAAAAAAUAAAUAAAUAAAUACUUGUGCACUAAUUUGCAUACUACAUGCUGGUCUGAA